GAAAUGCGAUACGUAAUGCGAAUUGCAGAAUUCCGUGAAUCAUCGAAUCUUUGAACGCAAAUUGCGCCCUUGGGUAUCCCUGAGGGCAUGCCUCCUUCAGUAUCGUUUCUACCAAUCUCUAAGACCUAGUCUUGGGAAAAUGAGAUUCUCGAGUCUGCCUCGAGUGUCUUGAAGUCCAUUGAGUUUCGUCAGUUUGACUACCUUUUCUUCGAGAAAGGCUCGUGAAACUCAGUCUCAACGGAGAUACUUCACCAUUGUGUGAUUUCUUUCGUUGAAAUCCGGCUGACUCACGAGUGUCGAUCUGGUUGCCGACUCUUAAGGUGCCUAACCCGCACAAGCAUCUAACGAUCUGAUCUGAAGUGAGGUAAGAUAACCCGCUGAACUUAA
rnacentral:misc_RNA from 1 species